rnacentral:rRNA from 1 species
AAUCCAUAGGUUAAUGAGGCGAACCGGGGGAACUGAAACAUCUAAGUACCCCGAGGAAAAGAAAUCAACCGAGAUUCCCCCAGUAGCGGCGAGCGAACGGGGAGGAGCCCAGAGCCUGAAUCAGCAUGUGUGUUAGUGGAAGCGUCUGGAAAGGCGCGCGAUACAGGGUGACAGCCCCGUACACAAAAGCGCAUGUGCUGUGAGCUCGAUGAGUAGGGCGGGACACGUGGUAUCCUGUCUGAAUAUGGGGGGACCAUCCUCCAAGGCUAAAUACUCCUGACUGACCGAUAGUGAACCAGUACCGUGAGGGAAAGGCGAAAAGAACCCCGGCGAGGGGAGUGAAAAAGAACCUGAAACCGUGUACGUACAAGCAGUGGGAGCACCCUUUGGGUGUGACUGCGUACCUUUUGUAUAAUGGGUCAGCGACUUAUAUUCUGUAGCAAGGUUAACCGAAUAGGGGAGCCGGAGGGAAACCGAGUCUUAAUUGGGCGUUAAGUUGCAGGGUAUAGACCCGAAACCCGGUGAUCUAGCCAUGGGCAGGUUGAAGGUUGGGUAACACUAACUGGAGGACCGAACCGACUAAUGUUGAAAAAUUAGCGGAUGACCUGUGGCUGGGGGUGAAAGGCCAAUCAAACCGGGAGAUAGCUGGUUCUCCCCGAAAGCUAUUUAGGUAGCGCCUCGUGAAUUCAUCUCCGGGGGUAGAGCACUGUUUCGGCUAGGGGGCCAUCCCGGCUUACCAACCCGAUGCAAACUGCGAAUACCGGAGAAUGUUAUCACGGGAGACACACGGCGGGUGCUAACGUCCGUCGUGAAGAGGGAAACAACCCAGACCGCCAGCUAAGGUCCCAAAGUCAUGGUUAAGUGGGAAACGAUGUGGGAAGGCCCAGACAGCCAGGAUGUUGGCUUAGAAGCAGCCAUCAUUUAAAGAAAGCGUAAUAGCUCACUGGUCGAGUCGGCCUGCGCGGAAGAUGUAACGGGGCUAAACCAUGCACCGAAGCUGCGGCAGCGAACGUAUCACUUAAAGCGAUUCAGCGGGUUACGAUUGACGGAGCGAAGCGACGUCAAAGCGUAUACAAAGUCGAGUCGGUUUAAGGAUACGUUCGUUGGGUAGGGGAGCGUUCUGUAAGCCUGCGAAGGUGGCCUGUGAGGGUUGCUGGAGGUAUCAGAAGUGCGAAUGCUGACAUAAGUAACGAUAAAGCGGGUGAAAAGCCCGCUCGCCGGAAGACCAAGGGUUCCUGUCCAACGUUAAUCGGGGCAGGGUGAGUCGACCCCUAAGGCGAGGCCGAAAGGCGUAGUCGAUGGGAAACGGGUUAAUAUUCCCGUACUUGGUGUUACUGCGAAGGGGGGACGGAGAAGGCUAUGUUGGCCGGGCGACGGUUGUCCCGGUUUAAGCGUGUAGGCUGGUUUUCCAGGCAAAUCCGGAAAAUCAAGGCUGAGGCGUGAUGACGAGGCACUACGGUGCUGAAGCAACAAAUGCCCUGCUUCCAGGAAAAGCCUCUAAGCAUCAGGUAACAUCAAAUCGUACCCCAAACCGACACAGGUGGUCAGGUAGAGAAUACCAAGGCGCUUGAGAGAACUCGGGUGAAGGAACUAGGCAAAAUGGUGCCGUAACUUCGGGAGAAGGCACGCUGACACGUAGGUGAAGUGAUUUACUCACGGAGCUGAAGUCAGUCGAAGAUACCAGCUGGCUGCAACUGUUUAUUAAAAACACAGCACUGUGCAAACACGAAAGUGGACGUAUACGGUGUGACGCCUGCCCGGUGCCGGAAGGUUAAUUGAUGGGGUCAGCGCAAGCGAAGCUCCUGAUCGAAGCCCCGGUAAACGGCGGCCGUAACUAUAACGGUCCUAAGGUAGCGAAAUUCCUUGUCGGGUAAGUUCCGACCUGCACGAAUGGCGUAAUGAUGGCCAGGCUGUCUCCACCCGAGACUCAGUGAAAUUGAACUCGCUGUGAAGAUGCAGUGUACCCGCGGCAAGACGGAAAGACCCCGUGAACCUUUACUAUAGCUUGACACUGAACAUUGAGCCUUGAUGUGUAGGAUAGGUGGGAGGCUUUGAAGUGUGGACGCCAGUCUGC